UCUGUAAAUGACAAAAAUAUAUUUUUUUGCAAUAUUCAAUCUUCAUCAAGUAAAACAUAAAAUAAAAAAACCGUUUUUUUUCAAAUCGCUGAAAAAAAAUAACAAGAAAAAUUCCAAUUUUUUUUCUAAAAAAUUGCUGUUUUUGCUAAAUGAUACGCUACCUAAUUUUACAGUAUUGUUACGUCCGGUACUGUGGAGUUUCGAUGGUCGUCAUCUGUUGAUGAGUAACGAUAUUCAUGUUGUUAUCCUGUCUUUUGGAUAAAGUGUCACGUUACGAAUUGAAGGCUUACGUUUUCUUAAGCUUGUUUUAUUAUUUUACGAACACGUGUGUGUUAUCGAAGUGCGCGAGUGCAAAUAAUCUUAUCAGAUCGUAACAUUUUGGGGGCUCGUCCAGGAUAGGACGAGCAAGACAAGCAUUCUUUUCGAAUACGUGCGAACGAGCUUCGAGUUAUGGCUUCACAAUCUUCGGAAAUCGUCGAGCGGACGAUGGAAGAUGUCGAGGCGUCGGGCACUGCAGAAUUAUUACGAACUGUGUUGGAGGAGCUCUGUAGAAUUAAGGAGGAGCGUGUCCAAUUUCAGCAGUGUAGGGACAAGCUUUUUGAACGGCUUCGACAAACACAAGAUCAGUCGUUCACUAAUUUUAAUUCCAAUUCCGCUUUUGAAAAUAAUAUAGGGUUAAAAUUAAAGCCAGAUAUGUAUAAUGGGAGUGCUCCGUUGCGCGAAUUUCUUACACAGUUUGGUUUGCUGGAUCGUGUAAAUAAUUGGACCAAUUCAGUUAAAGUAGUGGUUUUAGCUUUGUAUUUUAUGAAAAAAGCGCGUUUAAUUUUAGAUGGAGCGUUUAGUUUUAGAAUUAGAAAAUUUAAAAUUUUCCGAAUUAGAAUCGCGUUUAGAAUUGCGUUUUGGUGAGAGCCAUUUAGCUCAAUCGUUUUAUACUCAAUUUAUAAAUAGAAAACAAGGUUUUGGGGAAGAUAUUUCCACUCUGGAAGCAGAACUUGAACGAAUGGCUCGUCUACUAUAGUUUAUCCGGAGUGCUCCACAGAACCACUCGAGAUAAAAUCGCAUGUCCUCAAUUUGUUGCUUCGCUUUCGGAUGGAUUUAUAAAGCGAAUUUUACAAUUUGAGGGGUUAAUCUCUUUAUGUUCUGCGGUAGAAAAGACAAUGGUUAUAAAAGUUAUUACAGAAAAUAGUUUUUCUAAAUUUUCAGGAAAAUCAAAAUUUGUUCAGAAAAGGGCCAUGAGAAAGAAUUCUGUUGUUAAGAACACGGAAAUAGAAAUUUUAGGGAAAAAGAAAAAUUUUCGCGAAAAAAAAUUGAGUGUUAGCAAUGUAGUUCUAAGGAACAUUUCUGUUCGGAGUGUUUCUUCCCUUACAUUAACUGAGAAGGGAGGGAAACUCGGAAUAGCCGAGCUCUGUAAGGUAAUUUCGCAAAACUCAGCAAAGGAAUUAGAUAUUUAAAAAAGGAAAAAGUUUUCUUUUAAGUUAAAUCAUGCACAAAGCAAUAAUUUUCAUUUCAGUGGCUUCAUUGAUGGUCAAUUUUGUAUUUUUAAGAUUGACACAGGUUCCGAUGUCUAUUGUUGAUAGAAGGUUUGUCAGGGAAAACAAGCAACGGAUCUUCGUUAUGAAUUGUAAUUUGAGGUAUCCUACUGAAGAGGAAGUUCCUGUUGAUUGCAAACUUAUAGCGUUUUCGACUGCAGUGGGUUUUAACGUGGACGAUCGUCCGUUCUAAUUGGACGAUUUCGGUAAAUGGCGACAAACUUGGGUUAAAACCCACUACAGUCUUUUCAUUCUUCUGAGAAAUACUCGUGAUUGGCCAAUUUUAUAACAUCAAUGUUAUAACUUCGGCGUAAGUCGAGCCAUGUAAACAUAGUAAUAGUCCUUGGGUUUCUCCUGUUUUAGUUAAAAAGGACGAAACUCUUAGGUUUUGUGUGGAUUACAGAAAAUUAAACGCUAAAAAGCGCUUACUAAGGAAGAUUCUUACUCUAUGCCUAGAAUUGACGAUCUUUUUGAUCGAUUAUCCAGAAGCUCUUGGUUGCCGACUCUGGAUUGAAAGAGUGGUUAUUGACAAGUUAAGUUACGAUCUCAGGACAAAGAAAAGAUAACUUUUUUGAUAGGAAAGAGGUUGUGGCAAUUCACUGUUAUGCUUUUUGGAUUAUGCAAUGUUCCCGCGACUUUUGAACAAUUGAUGGAAAGGGUUUUUCAUCAAAUUAUUAAAAAGAUUUGCUUAGUUUAUCUUCAUUACGUGAUUAUUUUCAGCAAGACUUUGAAAGGUUUAUUAGCUAAUCUUAGGAAAGUUUUUUUUCGUCUUUGGGUAGCAAAUUUAAAAUUGAAUCCGAAAAAGUGUUCUUUCUUCGGAAAAAUGGUUAAGUAUUUAGGUCAUGUUAUUUCGAAGAAUGGAAUCUCUACUAGAUCCUAAGAAAGUUGAUUCUAUUCGGGAUUGGCCUAUUUCUCGUAACAAGAAGCAGUUACGCUGUUUCCUUGGUUUUUGUCCUUAUUACAGGAAGUUUGUUAAGGGUUUUUUCUCUUAUUGCAAAGCCUUUGUUUUAACUGAAAAUCAGAAUAAAUUUAUUUGAAAUGAACAAAGUCAGUCAGCUUUUGAAAAAUUUAAAAAGUUUUUAAUGUUUUCGCUAAUUUUAUCUUUUCCUUCUGAGACAGGGAAAUUUAUUCUCGAUACUGAUGCUUCUAACCAUGGCAUUGGUGCAGUUUUAUCUCAGAAACAAGAGAAUAAAAAAAGGUAAUCGCUUUUUAUAGUCGGAUAUUAAGCAAAUCGAAAAGAAAUUACUGUUACUCGUUGAGAACUUUUAGCUAUUAUUAAAUCCUUAAAAAAUUUUCAUCAUUACCUUUAAAGACAGAAGUUUGUGAUUAGAACUGAUCAUAUUUUUUUUUGCGAUGGUUAAUGUCUUUUAAAGAGCUUGACGGACGAUUGACACAUUGGUUAGAACGUCUACAACAAUAUGAUUUUAAAAUUGUUCAUCAAGCAGGAAAAUUUCACGGUAAUACUGAUGCGUUACCUAGACGUCCUUCUGUUAAGUUUUUUUUGUAAAUAUUGUGGAAAAAGUGGAAUCUAAAAAGGAGGAGGUAAAAAUAGUUCUUUAGGGAGAAUCGGUUUUGAGGAAGAGGAGACAGAAAGUUGGACAAAGGCUCAGUUGGAAGAUAGUUCUAUUAUCAACAUCUAUCGUAGUAAGGAUUCGGUGUUCGUCCUUCUUGUCAGGAGAUAGCCUCUAAUGAUAGCCUCCUCGAAGGUUGGACUUAAUGGGAUUCUUUAAUCAAGGAUGGAGUGUUAUUUAGAAAAUAGAUUUUUCCGGACUUGCGGAUGAAAAUUCCUCAAACAGUAGCCCCGUAAAGUUUAUUCAACAAGUAUUAGAAGAAGCUCAUGAUUCUCCUGUUAGCAAGCAUUUUAGAAUAAAUAAAACUUUAGCGAAAAUCCGUAAACGAUUUUACUGGGCUACCUAUAAACAGGAUGUCGAGCAUUGAUGUAAAACUUGUAAGGUUUGCUUUGGCGGAUUCCAAUAGCACACGGGACCGAUAGCACACCACCACUCACAGCGGCCGAUGCCUAGGGUUUUUCCGCUGGUUGGGUUAGAUAAGUCAAGAUGAUUAGUUAGUAGGCUAUCGCACCAUGCAUUAUCGAAUUCCAUCCGUUUGUUUUGCUAAGAUCCUUCUGAAAAAGGAAAAUCUCCUUUAUAAAUCUUUAAUGUUGGCGUCCCUUUUAAGAAGAAAACCUCCUUUAUCGAGUCAAAAAAAUCGAUAUUUUCGAAAUAGUCUUAAUCGAUUGUUAAACUAUUCAAGAAUAUUCCCUGAAAAUUUCAAGUCGAUAUCUGCAGUAUUUACAAAGUUAUGAAGUAUAAGUGGUGCAAGGCUGAAGCAGCAGGUUGUGCAGCGUCAUUUAAACAUCCCCCUCCUCUUCACCCAAAUGUUGAGAAACAUUUGCAACCGAUCUUCGACGAUCUUUCAAAUGACAGUCUUUUAGGCGGUUAUACACAGAAUGAAAGUUUCAAUUCUACCGUUUGGCAUUUAUAGCCUAAACACAUUCACACUGGAGCAAAAAUCGUCUGCAUUGCUGCGUAUAUUGCUGCAUCAAUAUUUAACAAAGGCUACAAUGCAGUGUUAAUGAUAAUGAACAAAUUGGAUAUCGAAAUUGGGAUCCAGGCACACAAUUUUGCCAUAAUGAAGGACGAGAAGCGAAUAAACAGACAGAACCGCCAAAGCUAUAGCAGCUCAAAAGAAGUAAGAACGGCUAGGAUGGAGAUGAUGGCUCAAAACGAGUUCUACGAGGAAGCGGAGGGGUUACUUUAUGCAGCUGGAAUCGCUGAUUAGCGUGAGACUGCCAUCAAAAUUAAGGACGCUACAGUGUACACAGCGGAGACACUCCAUAAGCGAUAUUAAUAUGGCGUCCGUUUUUGUAGUAAACAUCUUUUUUUUUGAAAAAAUUCCUGUGUACUCUUAGAUUAUGUAUUAAAUUGUCUUAAAAAUUUCAAAACGUUUCAAGUUAUUAUACCCGAAAAAAAAUUCGUGAAAAUCAUGUAUUUUUCGAUCGUGUAAAGGAGGUUUCCCCCUUAAAAGGGUUCAAAUGGAUAUUCUUGGUCCUUUUCCAACCUCUUCUUUUAGAAAAAAAUAUUUAUUGGUUGUUACUGAUUGUUUCUCAAAAUGGGUGAAAGCUUUUCCGACUGGGAAUAUUAAGGCAAAUACGAUGGUAGAAAUUUUUGUGAAUUAAGUAAUUUCUAGAUUUCUAGUUUCUUUAAAAAUUCAUAUUGAUCAAAAUAGAAAUUUUGAAUCUCGGUUAUUUCAGGAGUCAUCUCAUUUUUUUUUUAUUGGGAAUUAAAAAGACUCAAACUACUCCACUUCAUCCUCAAUCUAAUGAACAGGUAAAUCGUCAGCAUUAGACGCUUUUGAAUUACUUAGCAAAAUUUGUUUCGGAAAAACAGAAAGAUUAGAAUCGUUUAAUUUUUCUGGGUUUAUUAGCUUAUAGAGCAUCGAAGCAAGAAAUUACGAGUUUUACUCCUUCUGAAUUGUUUCAA